rnacentral:lncRNA from 1 species
CUAAGCUGAAUUUUUAUAGCGCACUGAUCGAUAUCUCGGUAAAAUAAUCAUUUUUUUAAAACUAGCGGGGUAGUGAAAUCUUUGCUUUGUGCUAAAGUCAACAGUGGCAGAGUUUGAGCUCAAAUAAAUGCCGGGAAGCCGGGAGCGCUGGGCAGUGCGCGCGCGCUGCAGCCGGAGCUCUCCAAGUGGCCUCCUGCGCUCCAGUCUGCGCCCACAGCCCGUGCUGCAGGGCUGAGCAGGAUCUCCGCGGUGGUUCCUGUUCCCGGUGAGGCCCUCUGGGCGCAUGCCAGUCGAACCCCUCUGCUUCUGCUCUUCCCAUGUUGCCUUGCUCGUCUCAUCCACGCCGGGCAGUGAAGACGUGACCCUCUCUACCACGCUUCCCGUGAUGCAGCACGCUUCCGAGAGCCUCCCGACAGUUCAGGAUGCACUCCUCCCGGUGCACCAUGGGUACCUGAAACAAAACCAAGUCACCGAGGUUGCUACGGCCCAGCGGACCAGACAGCCACCCGAACGGGCCGUCGCUGUCGCCAUGCGCCCCACCCGCCCCCAUCAGAACCAGGAGCCCCUUUUUGACUCCUCGCGUCCAUUAGUACCUGGCCGCGUCCGGGUUCGACCUGAUGGCAAAUAUGAAAUAUCAAAGCGCCUGUCAGGGGCCCUGAAUGAGGACAAAAGGAGCGCGGCAUUAAUGAUUAACUGUGCUAAAAGCCUCAGCUUUUGUAUUCCCAUGGUGCCCGGGCUAUCUGGCCGCCAUGUGACAUGCUCGAGCCAUUUUCUAGCAGAUUGAGGAAAGCCAGUGAGCAAACACAGGUGCUUUGGAGUCGCUGGCGCUGUCAGGGACAACGGCAAACAAGAGCAGCAAUGCCGGGCUAAAUGAGCUGCCCGCUCGGGCCUCGCUUUGCCGGGAGCUCCCGCAUCUCAAGUCCAAUGUCUCCCGCCCCGAUCGCCACUAUUCACGCUCUCCGUUCGAGAGUCUGGCGGUGGCGGUUGCGGGGAGGGCCGGAGAAUAAAUAAAUAAAUAAAGAUGGUGGAAUGCCGAAG